rfam:Culex pipiens quinquefasciatus supercont3.228 genomic scaffold, whole genome shotgun sequence.
GUCUCCGUGGCUUAAUGGUUACGGCUUCUGCCUCACAAGCAGAACGUUCAGGGAUCAAAUCCCGGCCGGUACC